rnacentral:lncRNA from 1 species
ACUGCCCUGAGAGGACCUCCCACCCUCGCGCGCGCGGGGGGGACCCGCUAGCACCGCCGAGCGCUGCUCCAUCCAACCCACGCCUGCGGCUUUCCUCCUCAGCCGUGGGGACCGACCCUCCAGUCUAGUCAGUGCCUAGAGCUGGGAUCUAAGGGACACCAAGCAGAUCCUCCUUCCCUUCCUUCCUGGCCACCUGCGGGGUCUUGACACGCAUGCCCAAGGUGGCAUGUGGCCCUCGACUGCGGCCCCUCCAUGCAGGUGCUGGGAAUUGAAUUCUAGUCCUCUGGAAGAGCAACAAGUGUCUUAACCGCUGAGCCAUGGUCAUAGGCACUGUUGUAUUGCUGUGAAGAGACAUGACCAAGGCAAACUUUAAGUGGACGUUCACAUGCUAGUCUUGGAACACUUCGUUUGUCUCAAGUCUUCAUCUUUGCUGUCUUCACUUCAUUGAGAGAGGCACACAGAGAACUUCUCCUGGUGUCCUGAAUGGUCCUGGUUGCUGCUGCUGACUUGUGCCGAUUUGUGGAGGCCUGGCGGUUUCUUGGUGCAGAUUCCUGUUUGCUAUCCUGACACUACUCUGCUGGACUGUGGGAACCCUGACAACGGAGAUUGGAAUCACCUGAAAGAACUACUUCUAAACAGGUCCACAUCCCCUUGUGCUUUUUAUCAUGUUUACUCUCCUACCUUUGUUUCUUUCUCCUUUCUCUUUUGUUUUUUCAAGACAGGGUUUCUCUGUGUAGCCCUGGCUGUCCUGGAACUCACUCUGUAGACCAGGCUGGCCUCGAACUCAGAAAUNNNUCUGCUUCUGCUUCCCAAGUGAUGGGAUUAAAGGACUGGGCCACUAUUGCCAGGCUUAAUUAGUUCAUUGUCAUCAUCAUCAUCAUUUUGAAAUGGUCUUACUACUAUACUACUGUGUAGGCUCCGCUGGCCAGAAACGUACUCCCUAGGCCAGGCUGGGUUGAGUUUGCAGGGAUUCGCCUGCCUCUCUGAAUGGUGUGAUUAAAGGUAUGGACUACCACCUGGCUGUUAUU